UACGAAGGGGGCUAGCGUUGCUCGGAAUCACUGGGCGUAAAGCGCACGUAGGCGGAUUGUUAAGUCAGGGGUGAAAUCCUGGAGCUCAACUCCAGAACUGCCUUUGAUACUGGCAAUCUCGAGUCCGGGAGAGGUGAGUGGAACUGCAAGUGUAGAGGUGAAAUUCGUAGAUAUUCGCAAGAACACCAGUGGCGAAGGCGGCUCACUGGCCCGGUACUGACGCUGAGGUGCGAAAGCGUGGGGAGCAAACAGG
rnacentral:rRNA from 1 species